GCAAGUCGAACGGUAACAGGCUCAGCUUGCUGAGUGCUGACGAGUGGCGGACGGGUGAGUAACGCGUGGGAACAUACCUGUUAGUUGGGGACAACCUGUGGAAACGCAGGCUAAUACCGAAUAUAUUCUACGGAAUAAAGGUGGCCUCUAUAUAUAAGCUAUCGCUAACAGAUUGGCCUGCGUUGGAUUAGCUAGUUGGUGGGGUAAAGGCCCACCAAGGCGACGAUCCAUAGCUGGUCUGAGAAGACGAAC
rnacentral:rRNA from 1 species